GACCCCGCACAAGCGGUGGAUCAUGUUGUUUAAUUCGAAGAUACACGAAAAACCUUACCAGGUCUUGACAUACUCUGCAAAGGCUUAGAAAUAAGUUCGGAGGCUAACAGAUGUACAGGUGGUGCACGGUUGUCGUCAGCUCGUGUCGUGAGAUGUUGGGUUAAGUCCCGCAACGAGCGCAACCCUUAUUGCUAGUUACCAUCAUUAAGUUGGGGACUCUAGCGAGACUGCCAGUGAUAAAUUGGAGGAAGGUGGGGAUGACGUCAAAUCAUCAUGCCCCUUAUGACCUGGGCUACAAACGUGAUACAAUGGCUGGAACAAAGAGAAGCGAUAGGGUGACCUGGAGCGAAACUCACAAAAACAGUCUCAGUUCGGAUUGGAGUCUGCAACUCGACUCCAUGAAGUCGGAAUCGCUAGUAAUCGCAAAUCAGCAUGUUGCGGUGAAUACGUUCUCGGGGUUU
rnacentral:rRNA from 1 species